rnacentral:rRNA from 1 species
CUGGAAGGAAGAUAAAGGCAUCUUUUAUCUUUUAAAAGACCUAGUAAUAGGUAUGCUUUAGGAGGGGCUUGCGCCAUAUUAGUUAGUUGGUAGGGUAAUGGCCUACCAAGACGAUGAUGUGUAGCUGGACUGAGAGGUUGAACAGCCACAUUGGGACUGAGACACGGCCCAAACUCCUACGGGAGGCAGCAGUAGGGAAUUUUCGGCAAUGGAGGAAACUCUGACCGAGCAACGCCGCGUGAAUGACGAAGUACUUCGGUAUGUAAAGUUCUUUUAUCAAGGAAGAAAAGCAAAUGGCGAACCAUUUGUUUGCCGGUACUUGAUGAAUAAGCCCCGGCUAAUUAUGUGCCAGCAGCCGCGGUAAGACAUAAGGGGCAAGUGUUAUCCGGAAUUAUUGGGCGUAAAGGGUGCGUAGGCGGUCUAGUAAGUCAGUGGUGUAAUGGCAACGCUUAACGUUGUCCGGCUAUUGAAACUGCUAAACUUGAGUUAGAUAGAGGCGAGUGGAAUUCCAUGUGUAGCGGUAAAAUGCGUAAAUAUAUGGAGGAACACCAGAGGCGUAGGCGGCUCGCUGGGUCUUAACUGACGCUGAGGCACGAAAGCGUGGGGAGCAAACAGGAUUAGAUACCCUGGUAGUCCACGCCGUAAACGAUGAGUACUAAGUGUCGGGUUAAACCGGUACUGAAGUUAACACAUUAAGUACUCCGCCUGAGUAGUACGUACGCAAGUAUGAAACUUAAAGGAAUUGACGGGACUCCGCACAAGCGGUGGAUCAUGUUGUUUAAUUCGAAGAUACCCGAAAAACCUUACCAGGUCUUGACAUGUUUUUGCAAAAUGAUAGUAAUAUCGUGGAGGUUACCAGAAACACAGGUGGUGCAUGGUUGUCGUCAGCUCGUGUCGUGAGAUGUUAGGUUAAGUCCUAAAACGAGCGAAACCCUUAUCGUUAGUUGCCAGCACGUUAUGGUGGGGACUUUAACGAGACUGCCAAUGAUAAAUUGGAGGAAGGUGAGGAUCACGUCAAAUCAGCAUGCCCCUUAUGACCUGGGCUACAAACGUGAUACAAUGGCUGUUACAAAGGGUAGCUGAAACGCAAGUUCUUGGCCAAUCCCCAAAAACAGUCCCAGUCCGGAUUGAAGUCUGCAACUCGACUUCAUGAAGUUGGAAUCGCUAGUAAUC